UAACGCGUGAGGAACCCGCCUCAAAGAGGGGGACAACAGUUGGAAACGACUGCUAAUACCGCAUAAGCCCACAGCUCGGCAUCGAGCAGAGGGAAAAGGAGUGAUCCGCUUUGAGAUGGCCUCGCGUCCGAUUAGCUAGUUGGUGAGGUAAUGGCUCACCAAGGCGACGAUCGGUAGCCGGACUGAGAGGUUGAACGGCCACAUUGGGACUGAGACACGGCCCAG
rnacentral:rRNA from 1 species